GGCCAGGGUAACGUCAGGCCGCUCUGCUGUCUCGCUGAGCUCCCAGGAUGACUGUGCCAGAUGCGGCUUAGUUAGAAAUGUACCGGGCUGGAGCCUCCUCAUCCCUUCCCUGUUCUAGGAGGUUGGCCCCUACCUCCUGCGAUGGCCCCUGAGGCAGGCUCUUCCCCCAGCAAAUACCCCCAUCCAGGCAUCUGCCAUGACUCUACAGGAAGAUUCCUGGCUCCAACUGACCUUCGAAGGAGGUGCUGGGAUACAGGGUGGCAAAAAAGCCAUGAAGCUGCAGGUUCCAAUUCCUCAUCCCACCUCUGGCACUAAUU
rnacentral:lncRNA from 1 species